rnacentral:rRNA from 1 species
CAGUCGCCGCGGUAAUACGGAGGGCGCGAGCGUUACCCGGAUUUACUGGGCGUAAAGGGCGUGUAGGCGGCCUGGGGCGUCCCAUGUGAAAGGCCACGGCUCAACCGUGGAGGAGCGUGGGAUACGCUCAGGCUAGAGGGUGGGAGAGGGUGGUGGAAUUCCCGGAGUAGCGGUGAAAUGCGCAGAUACCGGGAGGAACGCCGAUGGCGAAGGCAGCCACCUGGUCCACUUCUGACGCUGUGGCGCGAAAGCGUGGGGAGCAAACCGGAUUAGAUACCCGCGUAGUCCCUGUCUCUUAUAC